AUUGAACGCUGGCGGCAGGCCUAACACAUGCAAGUCGAGCGGAUGAAGGGAGCUUGCUCCUGGUUUCAGCGGCGGACGGGUGUGUAAUGCCUAGGAAUCUGCCUGGUAGUGGGGGAUAACGUCCGUUAACGGGCGCUAAUACCGCAUACGUCCUUAGGGUGAAAGUGGGGGAUCUUCGGACCUCACGCUAUCAGAUGAGCCUAGGUCGGAUUAGCUAGUUGGUGGGGUAAAGGCCUACCAAGGCGACGAUCCGUAACUGGUCUGAGAGGAUGAUCAGUCACACUGGAACUGAGACACGGUCCAGACUCCUACGGGAGGCAGCAGUGGGGAAUAUUGGACAAUGGGCGAAAGCAUGAUCCAGCAAUGCCGCGUGUGUGAAGAAGGUCUUCGGAUUGUAAAGCACUUUAAGUGGGGAGGAAGGGCAGUAAGUUAAUACCUUGCUGUUUUGACGUUACCAACAGAAUAAGCACCGGCUAACUUCGUG
rnacentral:rRNA from 1 species